rnacentral:rRNA from 1 species
CUUGGUCAUUUAGAGGAAGUAAAAGUCGUAACAAGGUCUCCGUUGGUGAACCAGCGGAGGGAUCAUUACCGAGUUUACAACUCCCAAACCCCUGUGAACAUACCAAUUGUUGCCUCGGCGGAUCAGCCCGCUCCCGGUAAAACGGGACGGCCCGCCAGAGGACCCCUAAACUCUGUUUCUAUAUGUAACUUCUGAGUAAAACCAUAAAUAAAUCAAAACUUUCAACAACGGAUCUCUUGGUUCUGGCAUCGAUGAAGAACGCAGCAAAAUGCGAUAAGUAAUGUGAAUUGCAGAAUUCAGUGAAUCAUCGAAUCUUUGAACGCACAUUGCGCCCGCCAGUAUUCUGGCGGGCAUGCCUGUUCGAGCGUCAUUUCAACCCUCAAGCCCCCGGGUUUGGUGUUGGGGAUCGGCGAGCCCUUGCGGCAAGCCAGCCCCGAAAUCUAGUGGCGGUCUCGCUGCAGCUUCCAUUGCGUAGUAGUAAAACCCUCGCAACUGGUACGCGGCGCGGCCAAGCCGUUAAACCCCCAACUUCUGAAUGUUGACCUCGGAUCAGGUAGGAAUACCCGCUGAACUUAAGCAUAUCAAUAAGCGGAG